ensembl:lncRNA
ACUGCAAACACCAGUGUGACUGAACAGGAACUCUGCAGUCACAGCCAAGCCCCAGGCAGCUAUGGAGCUGUCCAGUGACCCUGUGGUGAAGCAGCUGUAUACAUCACCUCAGCCCAACUUCUCCUGGAUCUGUACAAUUGGACAUCUUUGGAAGACCUCUGUUCUUCUGCCAUACCCAGCUAAUCUGUACCUUCUGGAAAGAAAGAUAAGCAGCAGGAUUGGUCUCAAGGUAUGUUAUAAAAAAAAAAAAAGAAAAAAGUGAUGAGACAAAAUGAAAUGAGCCUCUGAAAUGUAUGAAAGGAGAGUUGAAACUUCGCAGGCCUCAGAAAGGAGGGUGGUGGGGAAACCAGCCUCUGCACCAGAGAAUGUGCCAUGACUUGGUAGUGGCUAAAAAAUGUAUUGUACAUGAUGACAAUCCAAAUACGCCCAGUGAGAAUUCCUCAAGGUAAGCUUUUUGUUUGUUUGUUUACUUCCUCACAUUUGCAACCUUGGUAUAUAUGGUCUUAUGUAUGUCAGUCUUCAGAAUUCACUUGCCUUCUUCAGACGCUUUCCUGACAACAGCAUCCAUUGAAGCUCUAUCCUUUAGGGGUCUGAUUCUCAUAUUACUAUAAUUCAGUGAUUUAGGCUUUUGGGGGUGCAUGUAGCCCCCACAUUUUACAGCUUGGAUCUAUUAAGUAUAUGUUCAGUCUAUAGAGAAUUCUGGAGAUAAUAUGUUAAAGGGUCCUACUUUUUCUAAAGAAUCAAAUAGAAGUUCAACAUAAUACUGGUGAACUUUCACAUGUCUAAAUCUUUGCGUGCUUUAAGGUGUUGUUCACCUAAGGCAAACACAAAUUAAGUAAAAAUAAAUACACCAGCAGACAAAGCCUGCUACUUUUCUAUUUUUGCAUAAGUUCAUACAUGUAUGUCUCUAUCUGUGGCAUAUGAGCUUUGAUUUAAAAGCAGA